AACCGGGGGAACUGAAACAUCUAAGUACCCCGAGGAAAAGAAAUCAACCGAGAUUCCGAAAGUAGCGGCGAGCGAAAUUGGACUAGCCCUUAAGCUUUACACGCGUUAGACGAACGGUCUGGAAAGUCCGACGAUACAGGGUGAUAGUCCCGUAGUUGACGACGUGUGUUCAGUGAAAUCGAGUAGGGCGGGACACGUGAUAUCCUGUCUGAAUAUGGGGGGACCAUCCUCCAAGGCUAAAUACUACUGACUGACCGAUAGUGAACCAGUACCGUGAGGGAAAGGCGAAAAGAACCCCUGUGAGGGGAGUGAAAUAGAACCUGAAACCGUGUACGUACAAGCAGUAGGAGCAGGCUUUGUCCUGUGACUGCGUACCUUUUGUAUAAUGGGUCAGCGACUUAUAUUCAGUGGCAAGGUUAACCAUCUAGGGGAGCCGUAGGGAAACCGAGUCUUAACUGGGCGUUCAGUCUCUGGAUAUAGACCCGAAACCAGGUGAUCUAGCCAUGGGCAGGUUGAAGGUUGAGUAACAUCAACUGGAGGACCGAACCGACUAAUGUUGAAAAAUUAGCGGAUGACUUGUGGCUAGGGGUGAAAGGCCAAUCAAACCUGGAGAUAGCUGGUUCUCCCCGAAAGCUAUUUAGGUAGCGCCUCGGACGAAUACUACUGGGGGUAGAGCACUGUUAAGGCUAGGGGGUCAUCCCGACUUACCAACCCUUUGCAAACUCCGAAUACCAGUAAGUACUAUCCGGGAGACACACGGCGGGUGCUAACGUCCGUCGUGGAGAGGGAAACAACCCAGACCGCCAGCUAAGGUCCCAAAUUACUACUAAGUGGGAAACGAUGUGGGAAGGCUCAGACAGCCAGGAUGUUGGCUUAGAAGCAGCCAUCAUUUAAAGAAAGCGUAAUAGCUCACUGGUCGAGUCGGCCUGCGCGGAAGAUGUAACGGGGCUAAGUAGUAAACCGAAGCUGCGGCAAUGUGCUUUUGCACAUUGGGUAGGGGAGCGUUCUGUAAGCGGUUGAAGGUGUGUGGUAACGCAUGCUGGACGUAUCAGAAGUGCGAAUGCUGACAUGAGUAACGAUAAAGGGGGUGAAAAACCUCCUCGCCGGAAGACCAAGGGUUCCUGUCCAACGUUAAUCGGGGCAGGGUAAGUCGACCCCUAAGGCGAGGCCGAAAGGCGUAGUCGAUGGGAAACGGGUUAAUAUUCCCGUACUUCUUACAAUUGCGAUGGGGGGACGGAGAAGGCUAGGUGGGCCUGGCGACGGUUGUCCAGGUUCAAGUGCGUAGGCUUAAGAGUUAGGUAAAUCCGGCUCUUUUUAAGGCUGAGACACGACGUCGAGCAUCUACGGAUGUGAAGUCAUUGAUGCCAUGCUUCCAGGAAAAGCCUCUAAGCUUCAGAUUGUAAGGAAUCGUACCCCAAACCGACACAGGUGGUCGGGUAGAGAAUACCAAGGCGCUUGAGAGAACUCGGGUGAAGGAACUAGGCAAAAUGGUACCGUAACUUCGGGAGAAGGUACGCUCUCGACGGUGAAGUCCCUCGCGGAUGGAGCUAUUGAGAGUCGCAGAUACCAGGUGGCUGCAACUGUUUAUUAAAAACACAGCACUGUGCAAAAUCGUAAGAUGACGUAUACGGUGUGACGCCUGCCCGGUGCCGGAAGGUUAAUUGAUGGGGUUAGACUUCGGUCGAAGCUCUUGAUCGAAGCCCCGGUAAACGGCGGCCGUAACUAUAACGGUCCUAAGGUAGCGAAAUUCCUUGUCGGGUAAGUUCCGACCUGCACGAAUGGCGUAAUGAUGGCCACGCUGUCUCCACCCGAGACUCAGUGAAAUUGAAAUCGCUGUGAAGAUGCAGUGUACCCGCGGCUAGACGGAAAGACCCCGUGACUAGAGGCUUUACUACAGCUUGGCACUGAACAUUGACCCUACAUGUGUAGGAUAGGUGGGAGGCUUUGAAGCACGUACGCCAGUAUGUGUGGAGCCGUCCUUGAAAUACCACCCUUGUAGUGUUGAUGUUCUAACGUCGACCCCUUAUCGGGGUUGCGGACAGUGCCUGGUGGGUAGUUUGACUGGGGCGGUCUCCUCCCAAAGAGUAACGGAGGAGCACGAAGGUGGGCUAAUCACGGUUGGACAUCGUGAGGUUAGUGCAAUGGCAUAAGCCCGCUUGACUGCGAGAAUGACAAUUCGAGCAGGUGCGAAAGCAGGUCAUAGUGAUCCGGUGGUUCUGAAUGGAAGGGCCAUCGCUCAACGGAUAAAAGGUACUCCGGGGAUAACAGGCUGAUACCGCCCAAGAGUUCAUAUCGACGGCGGUGUUUGGCACCUCGAUGUCGGCUCAUCACAUCCUGGGGCUGAAGUCGGUCCCAAGGGUAUGGCUGUUCGCCAUUUAAAGUGGUACGCGAGCUGGGUUUAGAACGUCGUGAGACAGUUCGGUCCCUAUCUGCCGUGGGCGUUGGAAGAUUGAAGGGGGCUGCUCCUAGUACGAGAGGACCGGAGUGGACGAACCUCUGGUGUUCGGGUUGUGUCGCCAGACGCAUUGCCCGGUAGCUAAGUUCGGAAUCGAUAACCGCUGAAAGCAUCUAAGCGGGAAGCGAGCCCUGAGAUGAGUCUUCCCUGAUACUUUAAGUAUCCUAAAGGGUUGUCGGAGACUACGACGUUGAUAGGUCAGGUGUGUAAGUGCUGUGAGGCAUUGAGCUAACUGAUACUAAUUGCCCGUGAGGCUUAACCAUACAACACCCAAGGGGUUU
rnacentral:rRNA from 1 species